UACGUAGGGUGCGAGCGUUAAUCGGAAUUACUGGGCGUAAAGCGUGCGCAGGCGGCUUUGUAAGACAGAUGUGAAAUCCCCGGGCUCAACCUGGGAACUGCGUUUGUGACUGCAAGGCUAGAGUACGGUAGAGGGGGGUGGAAUUCCACGUGUAGCAGUGAAAUGCGUAGAGAUGUGGAGGAACACCGAUGGCGAAGGCAGCCCCCUGGGCCUGUACUGACGCUCAUGCACGAAAGCGUGGGGAGCAAACAGG
rnacentral:rRNA from 1 species